CCUUCGGGAGCCGACGAGUGGCGGACGGGUGAGUAACGCGUAGGAAUCUGCCUUAUAGUGGGGGACAACGUGGGGAAACCCACGCUAAUACCGCAUACGCCCUACGGGGGAAAGGAGGGGAUCUUCGGACCUUUCGCUAUGAGAUGAGCCUGCGUUAGAUUAGCUAGUUGGUAGGGUAAAGGCCUACCAAGGCGACGAUCUAUAGCUGGUCUGAGAGGACGAUCAGCCAUACUGGGACUGAGACACGGCCCAGACUCCUACGGGAGGCAGCAGUGGGGAAUAUUGGACAAUGGGCGAAAGCCUGAUCCAGCAAUACCGCGUGUGUGAAGAAGGCCUUAGGGUUGUAAAGCACUUUCAAUUGGGAGGAAAACCUGUCGGUCAAUACCCGGCAGCUUGACAUUACCUUUAGAAGAAGCACCGGCUAACUCCGUGCCAGCAGCCGCGGUAAUACGGAGGGUGCGAGCGUUAAUCGGAAUUACUGGGCGUAAAGCGUGCGUAGGCGGUUCGUUAAGUCAGAUGUGAAAGCCCUGGGCUCAACCUGGGAACUGCAUUUGAAACUGGCGGACUAGAGUUUAGUAGAGGGGAGUGGAAUUUCAGGUGUAGCGGUGAAAUGCGUAGAUAUCUGAAGGAACACCAGUGGCGAAGGCGACUCCCUGGACUAGAACUGACGCUGAGGUACGAAAGCGUGGGUAGCAAACAGGAUUAGAUACCCUGGUAGUCCACGCCGUAAACGAUGUCGACUAGCCGUUGGUCCUAUUUACAGGAUUAGUGGCGCAGCUAACGCAUUAAGUCGACCGCCUGGGGAGUACGGCCGCAAGGUUAAAACUCAAAUGAAUUGACGGGAGCCCGCACAAGCGGUGGAGCAUGUGGUUUAAUUCGAUGCAACGCGAAGAACCUUACCUACCCUUGACAUCCAGAGAAUC
rnacentral:rRNA from 1 species